ACGCAAUAGCGGAAUCAUUUCUCUGCUUGCUGUUUCCGGGGGACAGGUUUGUGCUGGACUUCCACACACACAUAUGCGCGCUGUUUGGGUAGUUCACUCCCUUCAUUUCACUGCACCAUGCCGACUGAUACCAAACGUGUACGUGGCCCAGAAGUGUCCCAAAGUCCGUCUUUGUUUUUGUGCAAACCCGCGGCCGUUCUUCCCUCGCAAGGCCCCAGAGCGGACGGUCGGCAGCGGGAUCAAGUGGACGUCCGGCCUGUUUUUGUCCGGUGCGGGCUGGUGAGCCAGGCUAAAGGCUCUGCUUACAUCGAGGCUGGAAACACCAAGUUGAUGUGCUGCGUUUAUGGCCCCAGAGAAACAGAGCGGAAAGAUGAGACCGAUAUGAAAUGUGGAAGGUUGACUACUGACAUGCGUUUUGCUCCAUUUUCCUGCCUUGAGAGGGGCUCCUGGAUUCAGGGAAGCCAGGACAAGGACCUCUCCCUGAUGCUGCAUGAGAGUCUGCAGCCAGCCGUGUGCCUCAACAAAUAUCCUCGUUCUCAGAUCGAGGUCAACGUGAUGGUUCUUGAGAACAGCGGUUCAGUUCUGGCCCACGCAGUCACAUGCGCUUCUCUCGCCCUUGCAGAUGCAGGGAUCGAAAUGUAUGACCUGGUGCUUGGUUGUUCCAUACGCCAGGAUGGCGUCUCUUAUGUGGUUGACCCUUCUUAUAUGGAGGAAAACAGCUGCAGCUCAGCCAGCAGCCAUAACCAGGGCGGUCUGACUGUUGCGUUCCUCCCCAGCCUCAACCAGAUUUCUGGGCUGCAGUCAGAUGGAGAAAUGACUGAAGAGACUCUGGCAGCCGGGGUUCGGACCUGCAUUGAGGGAUGUUAUAAACUGUACCCGGUCAUCCAACAAGCCCUGGCAAAGGCUGUGCGCAGGGCUGCGCCCCCACCAUCAGAGAGCUGAGACACUCAUUAACCCAGAACUGCUUAGUUCGUAGUUUUUCUACUUUACAUUUUCAGGUCCUUUCUUUGACAACAAUACCUGUUUCUAUGUUUGCUAUUCAAUUCUUUAAAUACAAAUUGAUAAUAAUUUAAGAAUGCACAUAUAUGGAACUUUAAUUAACUUCACUCAACUUCUGGAUUGUGUCAUCAACAAUUGAUUGCAUUGCAUCACAGGGGUUUUUCAGCAGCUCCAGAGCAGCUGCCAUUAUGCAGGAUCAUUACUAAUACUAGCCUGACCUGAAUAACUGGACGUAAGAAAUGCACAGAUAAAUAAUAAAGUGGAUAAAUCAA